CCUACGGGGGGCAGCAGUGGGGAAUAUUGGACAAUGGGCGAAAGCCUGAUCCAGCCAUGCCGCGUGUGUGAAGAAGGCCUUCGGGUUGUAAAGCACUUUCAGUGGGGAAGAAAGCCUUGGGGCUAAUACCCUCGAGGAAGGACAUCACCCACAGAAGAAGCACCGGCUAACUCCGGGCCAGCAGCCGCGGUAAUACGGAGGGUGCGAGCGUUAAUCGGAAUUACUGGGCGUAAAGCGCGCGUAGGCGGUCUGAUAAGCCGGUUGUGAAAGCCCCGGGCUCAACCUGGGAACGGCAUCCGGAACUGUCAGGCUAGAGUGCAGGAGAGGAAGGUAGAAUUCCCGGUGUAGCGGUGAAAUGCGUAGAGAUCGGGAGGAAUACCAGUGGCGAAGGCGGCCUUCUGGACUGACACUGACGCUGAGGUGCGAAAGCGUGGGUAGCAAACAGGAUUAGAUACCCCUGUAGUC
rnacentral:rRNA from 1 species